UGGAUUUACAACCGAAAGGCGUAAAAUUCGUUAUAAAUUUGAUGCGACAGUUCAAAGUUUUGUACUUUCCAGACCUGCACAACGAAUUACCUAUUUGAAAAAUAGAAAAUGGUUAAAAAUUGCUGAUGUGAUAGAGGAUUCAAGUACCAUUUACAAACAAAAUAUUGAAGAGAAUGUGCUCGAAAGGAAAUUCAUAUGACAUCUUUUUUGUUGACCAGGAUGGAAAAAGUCAUUGAAACCCAUAGUUAGAAUAAGAAUAAGUUAGGCCUAGAGGUGUACCAGCCAGAAGUAGAGGAUGCCAAAGAAAAUCAACUAUGAAUAAUAUUCCAUGGAUAUGAUUCAUGUAUGAUGUAGUAGCCUACAGAAGAAAGAGAUGGACUAAUCUAAGAAAUAUAUUCAUUUUUUCA